rnacentral:misc_RNA from 1 species
CUUUAUCUCAGAAUCGUCUCCAAAACUAUGAAGUCUCAAAUUAAAAAAAAAAUAUAUCCUAAAUACAAAUUCAUGGUUUAUAAAUCUUAAAAAACCUUCCAUUAUCUUAUAGAAUCUCCUCCUAAACACGGUAGAGAAAAAUGUUAGAAUCAUUCCUUUUUAUUGCACAACAUGAAGAUGGACGCAAAGAACAAGUAGAGAUAUCUGCAACUUUAAGCAAGCUGCAAUAUUGUCCUGUAGAUUAUGCCUUUGAUUCACAAAGUAUCCAACUGAAAAGCAAUUAAAUGAGAUCAUAUCUUAGAUUUUGCUUUCUCAAUGAGCUCUCGUCUGAGGAUUUUUCCUGCAGCUGAUUUAGGAACACUGUUGAUGAAAUUCACCCUUCGUAAUCUUUUGAAAGGUGCAACCUGCAACAGAAAGAGAAAUAAGUUAAAAUAUGCAUAGCAGAAAGUUUUGGCACUAAGAAGCUGCCCCUAUUGUUGUGCAGGAGCUAAUGAAAAUGCAGAGGUGCAUUUCUUCCAUAUUCAGUAAGUGCAUUCACAGGCAUUUCAACCUCUGGAGGAUAACAGCAUAAGCAAAUUGCAAAACUGCCAGCUUUUUCAGUUCUUUUUCUAACGGAAUACAACAAACAAUAACAACUAAAU